UACGGGGGGGGUGAAGCGUUGUUCGGAAUUACUGGGCGUAAAGAGCUCGUAGGCGGUCUGUUGCGUCUGCCGUGAAAACCCGAGGCUUAACCUCGGGCCUGCGGUGGAUACGGGCAGGGCUGGAGUUCGGUGAGGGGAGACUGGAAUUCCUGGUGUAGCGGUGAAAUGCGCAGAUAUCAGGAGGAACACCGGUGGCGAAGGCGGGUCUCUGGGCCGAUACUGACGCUGAGGAGCGAAAGCGUGGGGAGCGAACAGG
rnacentral:rRNA from 1 species